rnacentral:rRNA from 1 species
GACGAACGCUGGCGGCGUGCCUAAUACAUGCAAGUAGAACGCACAGUUUAUACCGUAGCUUGCUACACCAUAAACUGUGAGUUGCGAACGGGUGAGUAACGCGUAGGUAACCUGCCUGGUAGCGGGGGAUAACUAUUGGAAACGAUAGCUAAUACCGCAUAAUAUUGAUUAUUGCAUGAUAAUUGAUUGAAAGAUGCUAUUGCAUCACUACCAGAUGGACCUGCGUUGUAUUAGCUAGUAGGUGAGGUAACGGCUCACCUAGGCGACGAUACAUAGCCGACCUGAGAGGGUGAUCGGCCACACUGGGACUGAGACACGGCCCAGCCUCCUACGGGAGGCAGCAGUAGGGAAUCUUCGGCAAUGGACGAAAGUCUGACCGAGCAACGCCGCGUGAGUGAAGAAGGUUUUCGGAUCGUAAAGCUCUGUUGUAAGAGAAGAACGGGUGUGAGAGUGGAAAGUUCACACUGUGACGGUAUCUUACCAGAAAGGGACGGCUAACUACGUG